CGGGGGCUCGGGGCGUCGAGCACUCCGGGCAGUCUCCAUUCCAUUUGGUGCUUGGAAGUGCAUGCAAGAAGCAAGUGGAAGUAAAUUUCUUAGUUUGCCACUUUGCCUACACUAGAAAUUCUCUAUGAAGACAAUUGCCUAUCAACCCGUGAAUGUUUUUUAUAAAGAAUCCAUGUCCGUCAAGUCAGAUCACCAAACUGGAAAAGUUUCAGCGCUCCCUCAGACCUUCACAUAGAAUUUUUGUAUCUAAUCUACACAAAAUAAUUUUUAAACUCGUGCUUCAUGAUGGGAUUUGUCUCCUUUGGGCUUGAUUAGUUUGCGAAUCACAAUGUUGUCUUCACUGAUUUCCAUGGUUUCGACAUAUCUGUAGGACUCCAGGAGAGAAAAAGCACAUGCUUACUCAACUCUAUACACAUCAGAAGGAAGUUGAUAAAGAAUCGCCAACCAAGUAGCAAAUGAAAAACAAGGGAAUUUU